rnacentral:lncRNA from 1 species
AGUAGCCUUAGCCUUAGCCUUCUGUUUAUGCUCCUCUUCUCUGCAACAAACAACCACAAAAAAUUGCAAUUCAGCAUCAACCCCACACCAUACAAAACAUUCACAUUGUAAUAUCAUGGUACAUACACACACACUCAUGGACAAAUGUGCAAAAUACACAUACAUACUCACACUCACACUCACACUAACACACACACACGGACAUACACACUCUCACACACUGACAUAGACUCACACACACCCUGCAUACAUACAUACACACACACACACACACACACACACACACACUGCACACACACACACACUGCAUACAUACACACACACACACACACACACACUGCAUACAUACCGCAUACAUACACACACACACACACACUGCACACACUGCAUACAUACAUACUCAUACUCAUACACACACUGCACACACACACACUGCAUACACACACUGCACACACACACUGCAUACAUACACUGCACACACACACACUGCAUACAUACUCAUACAUACACUGCACACACACACUGCACACACUGCAUACAUACAUACUCAUACUCAUACACACACUGCACACACACACUGCAUACACACACUGCACACACACACACUGCAUACAUACACUGCACACACACAUGCACUACACACACAUACACUGCACACACACAACACUGCAUACAUACCGCAUACAUACACACACACACACACUGCAUACACACUCACACACACACUGCACACACACACACACUGCACACACACACACUGUGCAUACAUACCGCAUACAUACACACACACACACUGCAUACAUACCGCAUACACACACACACACUGCACACUGCAUACAUACUGCAUACAUACACACACACACACACUGCACACACACACACACUGCAUACACACACACACUGCACACACACUCACAGUCACACACACUCACACUCACACUUACACUCACACUCACACACACUCACACUCACACUUACACUCACACUCACACACUGCACACAGUCACACACACACACACACGGGGACAGAGUGCAACACACUCUUACCCUCACACACACACUCUGUUUUUAUACUCACACACACACACAUUGCAUACAUACAUACAUACACACACACACACACACUGCACACACACACACACUGCAUACACACUCACACACACACUGCACACACACACACACACUGCAUACACACACACACUGCACACACACUCACACUCACACACACUCACACACACACACACACUCACACUCACACACUGCACACAUUCACACACACACACACACACACUGCACACACACACACACACACACUGCACACACACUGCACACUGCAUACAUACUGCAUACAUACACACACACACACGAGGACAGAGUGCAACACACUUUUACCCUUACACACACACUCUGUUUUUAUACUCACACACACACACACACACACACACACACACACUGCAUACAUACUCACACACACACACUGCAUACAUACACACACACACACACACACACACUGCACACACACACACACACUGCACACACACACACACUGCAUACAUACACACACUGCAUACAUACUGCAUACAUACACACACACACACACACACACACACACUGCACACACACACACUGCAUACACACACACACCAUACAUACACACACACACACACACACUGCACACACACACACACACCAUACAUACACACACACAACACUGCACACACACACACACACUGCAAUACACACACACACUGCACACACACUGCACACUGCAUACACACACACACACUGCACACACACACACACACUGCAUACAUACACACACACACACUGCACACACACACACACACUGCAUACAUACACACACACUGCACACACACACAUACACUGCAUACAUACUGCAUACAUACAUACAUACACACACACACACACACACACACACACACACACACACACACACACACACACUGCAACACACACACACUGCAUGCAUACAUACUGCAUACACACACACACACACACACACACACUGCAUACACACACACACACACACACAUACAACACACACACAACACACUGCAUACAUACAUACACCACACACACACACACACACACACACACACACACACACUACAUACAUACACACACACACACUGCAUACAUACACACACACACAUUGCAUACACACACACACACACACACAUUGCACACACACACACACUACAUACAUACACACACACACACACACACACUGCAUACAUACACACACACACAUUGCAUACACACACACACACACAUUGCACACACACACACACUACAUACAUACACACACACACACUGCAUACAUACACACUGCAUACAUACACACACACACACACACACAUUGCAUACACACACACACACACUGCAUACAUACACACACACAUUGCAUACACACACACACACACAUUGCAUACACACACACACACACACACUGCAUACAUACAUACACACACACACACACACUGCAUACAUACAUACACACACACACUGCAUACAUACACACACACACACACACAUUACUGCAAAUUCAAAAGAACCAGAGUAAGAGUGAGAGACAGAGAGAGAGAGGGUUACUUUGACUGGGAUCGAACAGGGGAGGAGGAGGGGCGAUUUGGUUGGAGUGUUCCUGAGAUGUCGCCUGAGAAGAAGGUGGAGGAGCAGGGCGAGCAGGAUCUGCAAUUUGACCCUAAAAAUCAAAACUCUAAUUUGUUCAACUACAGAGGUAUAUUAUUGAAAAUUUCUCAAACCCAAAAUAAUUAAAUCAAAUAAAGCUUAGUAAUAUCACGAUCUGCAAAACAAAUUGAAGAAAUAAAUCGAAGAUUCGAAGUUUACCAGGCAAGAGGAGCAGAUAAGGGCGAGCAAGAUGCAGAUGAAGGCAAGCAAGACGCAGAGAUGAGGGUGAAGAGGACGAGGAUGAGGGAGCAAGGCAAGCAGGGAGCGAUGGCGACAACUCUCUCUCUCGCAGGAUGAGCGAGGUUUUCUCUCGCGGAAGGUCUUGCGAGUCCGGCCGAAUUUGGGGUUCUCGGCUAAGAACUCCUAGCGAACCCAUUAAUCCGAGCGAGUCCCAUUUAAUCCCAUUAAACCUAAUCCUGGUGCAGAACAAACAAGGGACUACAAUCUAGUCCAAUCCAGUCCCCCCUAAUCCGGUCAAACAAA